UGUGUGUGUGUGUGUGUGUAGAGGAGAGAGAGAGAGAGAGAGAAAGAGAGAAAACAAGAUGGUGGAGAGAGACAAUGCACCAUGUGACUUUGUCACAUGUGGACAAAAUGGUGGACAACAAAAGAAGCCGUGUGGCUACCUUUUGAAAUAGUUUGAGCUCUCUGAGCUGAGUUCAGUAACUGUUACUUAAACACCAGAAAGCCAGUGGCCGGACUUUGAUUCAACGGCGGGUACACUGGUCUUUCUGUUUGUGAAAGCCGUUAACUGAGAGUAAGCUAUACAGCAGUGAUUAAACACAGGUAGGUGAAAACGGCAGUUCAGUAACAAAAACAAAUGCAGCAGCUUACAGCAGAUAAUAAACAGAAUGUGACGUUCAGUCAACAAUAAAGCACAAUUAUCAGUUGUUAUAAAAUAAUCCUUCCUAAACUAUUCUGUGCCCAGACUAAAGUCUUACUUGGAA